AUGCAAGAUUGCAAAGGAUACACGAUGCCAAUGCCAACCAAAGGUCAAUUGGGCUCCGAUGACAAUGGUAAAGAGUUCGAUCAAAAGGUAUACCACUCCAUGAUUGGUUCUUUAUUGUACUUAUGUGCAUCUAGGCCAGAUAUAGUGCUUAGCGUUUGCAUGUAUGCCCGAUUCCGAGCGGCACGAAAGGAAUCACAUCACCUCGCGGUGAAGCGAAUACUUCGAUAUUUGGCUCACACCCCAACACUAGGAUUAUGGUAUCCAAAGGGCUCAGAUUUUGAUCUAGUUGGCUUCUUAGAUGCUGAUUAUGCUGGUGACAAGGUUGAUUAUAAGUCCACAUCAGGCACAUGUCACUUUCUUGGAUGA
rnacentral:rRNA from 1 species